rnacentral:rRNA from 1 species
AUUGAACGCUGGCGGCAGGCCUAACACAUGCAAGUCGAGCGGGGUUUUCGGACCUAGCGGCGGACGGGUGAGUAAUGCGUAGGAAGCUACCCGAUAGAGGGGGAUACCAGUUGGAAACGACUGUUAAUACCGCAUAAUGUCUACGGACCAAAGUGUGGGACCUUCGGGCCACAUGCUAUCGGAUGCGCCUACGUGGGAUUAGCUAGCUGGUGAGGUAAUGGCUCACCAAGGCGACGAUCCCUAGCUGGUUUGAGAGGAUGAUCAGCCACACUGGAACUGUGACACGGUCAAGACUCCUACGGGAGGCAGCAGUGGGGAAUAUUGGACAAUGGGCGCAAGCCUGAUCCAGCCAUGCCGCGUGUGUGAAGAAGGCCUUCGGGUUGUAAAGCACUUUCAGUAGGGAGGAAGCGUUGUGUGUUAAUAGUACACAGCGUUGACGUUACCUACAGAAGAAGCACCGGCUAACUCUGUGCCAGCCGCCGCGGUAAAAC